UACGUAGGGUGCGAGCGUUGUCCGGAAUUAUUGGGCGUAAAGAGCUCGUAGGCGGUUUGUCGCGUCGGCUGUGAAAUCCCGAGGCUCAACCUCGGGUCUGCAGUCGAUACGAGCAAACUAGAGUGUUGCAGGGGAGACUGGAAUUCCUGGUGUAGCGGUGAAAUGCGCAGAUAUCAGGAGGAACACCAAUGGCGAAGGCAGCUCGCUGGGACGGUACUGACGCUGAGGCGCGAAAGCGUGGGGAGCAAACAGG
rnacentral:rRNA from 1 species